rnacentral:lncRNA from 1 species
AUGGCAAGCUGGCCCCACGGAUGUAAGGCAUGGGGGUGCUGCUUAAAACACAGGCAGAGUCGCGGGGUUGCGGCCUCUCAUGGGUGUUCACAGACGGCCCUGGCCCCAAGUCCUAUGCACACUUUCGCUCCAAGACUGAGAUCCUAUCAGUGUGCUCCAAACCCUGGACCUCUUUAUUAUCUACAGCACACCCGUUGUCUAAAACAAGCCGGGCCACACUCGGGGUCACGUGACUCCGCUGCUUCUGCUCCUGCUGCUCAGAACACCCAGCCUGUCUUCUCCACCCGUACCCCCUCACUGCCUAUGCCUCCUACCCAUCCUUGGAGAGCCUGGAAGCCUCCGUUGAGCCCCACCCCACAGAAGCAGGGCUCAGUGUCUGCCUUCCCAGUCACAUCAAGAGCAGGGGCUGUGUCUGAUUGAUGGCCAGUUCCCUAGGGUUUAUUUUACACUGAUGCAUUUCAUGGAACUUAACUAAGUUCUUAGCAGGUACUUCAGAUUUCGAACAAAUCUCUCACACCCCAUAGGGAGAAGAAAGUUACAGCGUUGGUGCUGCCGAGGGGUGAGGUGGGAUAGAAUCAUGAAUCUGCAUAUGUGUGAAAAACUUCCCUAGAUCCUGACGCAAGCUGUAUUGCAGAGCUUGAGAAGCAAUGGUUUGACUUCAGAGAGUCCUGACAACAGAAUUCUUGGAAAAUGAAAACGCUUGCCUUUCAUUUCCUCUAAGGUUUUACUUGCUGCUAUUCUAGAUGGGAAGAAUGGGGUGGGUUUUUCGUGGACUUGACAGGGAUGAGAAACAAGGUGGGUUCCAGUAUUUUUAUUUUAUGCGUUGUAUCUUCGGUAUCCUUUUGAACUGUAUGACUCUCUCAUCCAAAUUCCAAAAAAGUACAUUUUUUUUUUUUUUUAUCUUUUUGUCUUUUUGAGACAGGGUCUCACUAUGUGGUUCAGGCUGGUCUUGAGCUCACUUUGUAGUCCAGGCUGGCCUUAAACUCACAACAGUCCUCCUGCCUCAGCCUCCCACGUGCUGGGAUUACAGGCGUGCCCCGCCAUGCCCAGCAAAAGUGCAUUCUUGUAUGUGUAUUACUUUCCCAGAGAUGCCAUAACUAAGUAGGUGAAACUGUGUGGUUUAAACAACAGAAACUUCCUCCCGCACAGUUCUGGAGCCUGGAAGUCUGAGAUCCAGGCGUCAGGAGGGCCGCUCUAAGGGACAACCCUGCUAUGUCUCUUCUGCCUUCUGGGGUCUGCUGGCAUCUGUAGUUAGCACUGGGUCAUGCAGUCUUCAGCCUGCGUCUCUACAUGGUCCUUCCCUCUGUGUGUCUGUGCCCAGAUUUCCUCUGACAGCAGGCGUACUGGGUUAGAAUCUACCUUAGAGGCCUCACUGGAACUGAAUUGUCCCCGCAAAGACCCUGUCUCUAAAUAAGGUUUCAUUUGAGGGUUUAGGGGCUUGCAGCUUCAUCGUGUAUUUAUGGGUGAACAUACUUCAGCCCAUAACAAUGUGAUUUUUAAAUUUUUUUGAGAACAAACUCAAAAUUUCAGGCCAAAGGAAAUGAACUGGUUUCUGGACAAAUGACUUCCAUAGGCGAUGUCCAUAACGCAGGGGAGACUGGGGUAACACUUUGUUCUGGAGGGUUUAUCAAGAACACACACAGGGGUGGGGCAUUUGCUCAGCAGUUAUCGCUCGGAGCAGACCUGGAGGCAGGGACCGGGCUCCAGGGUUAGGGAAGGUAAGGCCCAGCAGACUGCAGCCUUAGGCUCGUUGGCAGUGUGCAGAUAGACCUGCAGGACUGAGAAGUGAACCAGACAGACGGGAAGAGGCCAGACACGACCACCAAGAAGGGGAAGGAAGAGAUGUGGCUCUUGACUAAAAGCUUCACUUUCUUCUUUCUGAAGUCAGCUUUCUGUUGCUGUGACAAAACAGCUGAGAUAAACAACGUAAAACGUGAAGGGUUCCUAUGGAGAACACGAAGAACUAAAAAAAAAAAUCAGACCUCCCAAAUUCAAAGACCAAAUCCAAAAAUGGGCAUCUGAGAUGAAUAUGCACUUCUCAGAUGAAAUACUAACACCAAAUAAAUAUAUGAAAAAAUGUUCAACAUCGCUGGUCCUUUGAGAGAUGCAAAUUAAAACAACACUGAGAUUCCAUCUCAACCCAGAAAGAAUGGCUAUCAUCAAGAAGUCAAACAAUAACAAAUGCUGGAGGGGCUGUGGGGAAAUGGGACCCCUUCUCCACUGUUGGUGGGAGUGUAGACUAACGCAACCACUGAAAGUCAGUGUGGAGUUUCCCCAAGGAACUAGGAUUAGGGGUCCCAUUUGACCCAGCUACUCCCCUUCUGGGUAUCUUCCCAGAAGAAUUAAAAAUAUCACACCACAGUGACUAUGUGCAUCCAUGUUUACAGCAGCACAAUUUGUGAUAGCUAAAUCUUGGAAACAACCCAAAUGCCCAUCAACCAAAGAAUGGCUAAAAAAGAUGUGGUCUUUUUAUACAAUAGAAUGCUACUGAGCCAUAAAGAGUGAUAAACUGUAGGCUUUUAUAGGUAAAUGGAUGCAACUGGAGACCAUACUCAUAAGUGAAAUAAACCAGAUGCACAAAUAUAAACAUCAUACUGUCCCACUAGUGUGAGAAGCUGAAAGAAUAGAUAAGAUCCAAAAUGUACAAUAGAUAUUGUAAAAUGAGAAGAAACUUCAAAAGGAAAGAGAGACUGGAAUGGGGCAAUGGAGAAAAGAACAAAGGGAAAAGGGAAAUAUCUACCUAUCUAUAUAUACAAUAGUUAAGAUAGUUAUACUGCGAAUUUCUGUUAGUUCACUGAAAAGAAAAGUUUGUGCUAAUAUUGUUUGGACAAUUAAAUGCCAAUUUCUUGUACUUGGAGAAAUUCAUUUAAAGAUAACAAUGUGCAGCGUAUUAACCUUUCUUACCCUCCUAUUGUUUUGAAAUUUUAUUUUUUUUCUCUUAAAGGAACAAUGUAAAAGGGAGGAAGAUUUACCUUGUCUCAUGGCCUCAGCAGUUUCAGUCCAUGGGCACUUGGCCGCCCCUUUGCCCCUGCAGUGGGACUGAACUCCAUGGCAGGAAGCUGCUGAUCUCAUGGUGACCAGAGAGCAGAGAGAGAAGAGGAGGAACCCAAGUCCCAUCGCGCUCUUGAAGGCCAAGCCUCCUGUGACCUAACGUCCUUCCACCAGGGCCCAUCUCUUAAAAGUUCUACUAUCUCCCACCAGCACCAUCAGCUAGGGAUCAAACCUUCACACAUGAGCUUUUGGAGCCAAGUGUGGUGACACAUACCUGUAAUCCCAGCACUCAGGAGGCUGAUGCAGGAGGAUUGUUGGGAGUUCAAGGCCAGCCUGAAUUAUAUAGCAAGAUCUUGUCUCAAAAAAGAGUUUGGGGGUUACACUUAUGACCCAAACCAUAAUAUCCUUCUUUAUAACUUUAUUUAUUUAUUUGAUCUUUUUGAAACAGGGUCUCGCUAUACAGUUCAGGCUGGCCUUGAGCUCACUUUGUAGCCCAGGCUAGUCUUGAACUUGCAACGAUCCUCCUGCCUCAGCCUCCCAAGUGCUGGGAUGACAGGCAUGUGCCCCACACCUGGCCUAUAACUUUAAAUUUUUAAAUUGAAUUACUCAUUUGCCAUUUUGCCAUUUUAAAGUGAAGAUUUCAAUUUUUUUAAGUGUUUUCACAAUACUGUGCAACCAUUGUCACUUAUGUAAUUCUUGAAUAUUUUCAUCCCCGUCACCCCCAAGAAUCUCAGUAAGUAUUAGUAAUCAUUCCGGAUCUCCCUUCCACUCAACUCUGGUAACUUCCAGUCUACUUUGUAUCUCUCUGGACUUGCAUGUUCUGAACCUAUGACCACAAUCAUGCAGUAUGUCCUUUUUUGUUCCUAGCUUUUUUCUCUCAGUCUGUUUUCAAGAUCCAUCCAUGUUGUAACUUGUGUCUGGACUUCAUUUGUUAAGUCACAAUAAAAUUCCAUUUCAUGUCCCACAAUUUAUGUAUUCACCAGUUGAU